GACGAACGCUGGCGGCGUGCCUAAUACAUGCAAGUAGAACGCACAGUUUAUACCGUAGCUUGCUACACCAUAGACUGUGAGUUGCGAACGGGUGAGUAACGCGUAGGUAACCUGCCUGGUAGCGGGGGAUAACUAUUCGAAACGAUAGCUAAUACCGCAUAAUAUUAAUUAUUGCAUGAUAAUUAAUUGAAAGGUGCAAUUGCACCACUACCAGAUGGACCUGCGUUGUAUUAGCUAGUAGGUGAGGUAACGGCUCACCUAGGCGACGAUACAUAGCCGACCUGAGAGGGUGAUCGGCCACACUGGGACUGAGACACGGCCCAGACUCCUACGGGAGGCAGCAGUAGGGAAUCUUCGGCAAUGGACGAAAGUCUGACCGAGCAACGCCGCGUGAGUGAAGAAGGUUUUCGGAUCGUAAAGCUCUGUUGUAAGAGAAGAACGGGUGUGAGAGUGGAAAGUUCACACUGUGACGGUAUCUUACCAGAAAGGGACGGCUAACUACGUG
rnacentral:rRNA from 1 species